rnacentral:misc_RNA from 1 species
UCAGAUGUGUAUAAGAGACAGGUGAAUCAUCGAAUCUUUGAACGCACAUUGCGCCCCCUGGUAUUCCGGGGGGCAUGCCUGUCCGAGCGUCAUUACAACCCUCAAGCCUAGCUUGGUGUUGGGCUCCGCCGCCUGGCGGGCCCUAAAGUCAGUGGCGGUGCUGUCCAGCUCCGAGCGUAGUAAAUCUUCUCGCUCUGGAGGCCUGGGCAUGUGCCUGCCAGCAACCCCCCAAUUUUAUCAGGUUGACCUCGGAUCAGGUAGGGAUACCCGCUGAACUUAAGCAUAUCAAUAAGCGGAGGA